AUGCUUCUUGGGCAGUGCAUACACUAAAAUGGGAAAGAUAUAGAGACAAUUAGCACAGCCCCUGUACAAGGACAACACAGAUUUGUGAAACAUUCCAUAUUUUU
ensembl:snRNA U6 U6 spliceosomal RNA